rnacentral:rRNA from 1 species
UACGUAGGGUGCAAGCGUUGUCCGGAAUUAUUGGGCGUAAAGAGCUCGUAGGCGGUUUGUCACGUCGGGCGUGAAAACUCAGGGCUCAACCCUGAGCGUGCGUUCGAUACGGGCAGACUAGAGGUAUGCAGGGGAGAACGGAAUUCCUGGUGUAGCGGUGGAAUGCGCAGAUAUCAGGAGGAACACCGGUGGCGAAGGCGGUUCUCUGGGCAUUACCUGACGCUGAGGAGCGAAAGCAUGGGGAGCGAACAGGA